rnacentral:lncRNA from 1 species
AAAAUAUAGGAAUGUCGUGGCUCCUGUCUCCCAAAAAGAUUGCCCUGUUUCUUUUAUUGAUUCAAGAUGGCUGGCCACAUUUUCGCCGGACAAUUUUCAACAAUGAGUAAAAGUACAAGCAUGGUUAAGAAACUCGUUAGUCUCCCAUGCAAUUUGGUGUUUUUGGCACGCUGACUGAAGAGACACACUGAUUCCAUUUUAUUUUGUUGUUGUAAUGUAUAGCUAAUACUCUGUUUUUCUUGUACAAACUUCUCUAGGAAGAUUGUCUACGAUAUCCCUACAAGAGAAAAUUAAAUAGAAGUUUUAUUGUACGGAAAGUAGAAUUAUAUAUAAUAAUUAGAAUUUUAUGAGACAAAAACAAAAACACUAAUUUUAAAUUGGUUGUAGAAAAGUAAUUCAUUCUAUAAUUGAUUACAUAUAUUAAAAGCUGUAUAAAAUGUAAUUUCUUAAUUCACAUACCUGAUAUCUCAGUCGUAAGAAAAUCAUCAUCAAAUGUCUUGUUACAUGGACCUGUAGAUCCUUCGGGUGCUUCAUGACAACUGAAGCACCGUUAAGGUUACAUGGACCUUAGUCAUUAAUAAAGAUUACGUCUUGUUUUUGAAAACCAAAAUACUUUUGUAAACAUUCCUUAAAAAGUUCUGUUGAUCUAAUGCAUCCAUGCAACAGUGGAUAAGUGUUAACCUGUAGUUGAGUGCCAUUGAAGGAAGUAACGAAAGAGAGAUAGAAAGAAAUGGAGGAGAGACAGAAAGAAAUGAAAGAGAGAUGGAAAGAAAAAAUAUAUAUUUUGACAAAAAAAUGAAAAACCUAUUAGUACUCCAUGUUUUUUAACACAUUAAUAUUUUUUUAAAGUUUAUAUUCAUGUUAGAAUCCAACAUGACAUUAUGUAGGUGAUUUUACAAUUAAAAUUUAUUAGAUACUAUAGCUUAGAAAUUAUACAAAUAGGAUUCAAUAAAUUUUACGGUGAAAGAGAUCAUAAACAAUAUAAUAGGUAUACCACAAUAUAAUGUUAGAAUAUAAUUAAUGCUUAAAUUUGAAGAUAAAAUUAAGAAUAUAAUAUAAUUAAUGCAUGAAAGUUGUGUUAGGAAAGUAUUGUAACUUAAUUUUGUCCAAAAAAAAUAAAAC